rnacentral:rRNA from 1 species
CNAACGCUGUGNGNCAUGCUUAANACAUGCAAGUCGAACGAUGAAGCCCUUCGGGGUGGAUUAGUGGCGAACGGGUGAGUAACACGUGGGCAAUCUGCCCUUCACUCUGGGACAAGCCCUGGAAACGGGGUCUAAUACCGGAUAACACCUGCCCGGGCAUCUGGGUGGGUUAAAAGCUCCGGCGGUGAAGGAUGAGCCCGCGGCCUAUCAGCUUGUUGGUGAGGUAGUGGCUCACCAAGGCGACGACGGGUAGCCGGCCUGAGAGGGCGACCGGCCACACUGGGACUGAGACACGGCCCAGACUCCUACGGGAGGCAGCAGUGGGGAAUAUUGCACAAUGGGCGAAAGCCUGAUGCAGCGACGCCGCGUGAGGGAUGACGGCCUUCGGGUUGUAAACCUCUUUCAGCAGGGAAGAAGCGAAAGUGACGGUACCUGCAGAAGAAGCGCCGGCUAACUACGUGCCAGCAGCCGCGGUAAUACGUAGGGCGCAAGCGUUGUCCGGAAUUAUUGGGCGUAAAGAGCUCGUAGGCGGCUUGUCACGUCGGGUGUGAAAGCCCGGGGCUUAACCCCGGGUCUGCAUUCGAUACGGGCUAGCUAGAGUGUGGUAGGGGAGAUCGGAAUUCCUGGUGUAGCGGUGAAAUGCGCAGAUAUCAGGAGGAACACCGGUGGCGAAGGCGGAUCUCUGGGCCAUUACUGACGCUGAGGAGCGAAAGCGUGGGGAGCGAACAGGAUUAGAUACCCUGGUAGUCCACGCCGUAAACGGUGGGAACUAGGUGUUGGCGACAUUCCACGUCGUCGGUGCCGNANCUAACGCAUUAAUUUCCCCCCUGGGGANUCNGNCNCAGGCUAAACUCAANGNAUUGACGGGGGCCNCACAACACCGGANCUGUGGCUUANUUGACNCACCCGAAAAACNUANNAGGNUNACANCNCCGGAACNGCCAAAAUGNNCCCCCCUUGGGGCGGNUNCAGUGGGNCUGGU